rnacentral:rRNA from 1 species
UACGAAGGGGGCUAGCGUUGUUCGGAAUUACUGGGCGUAAAGCGCGCGCAGGCGGUUCUUCAAGUCAGUGGUGAAAGCCCGGAGCUCAACUCCGGAACUGCCAUUGAAACUGUUGAACUUGAGUACGAGAGAGGUGAGUGGAAUUCCCAGUGUAGAGGUGAAAUUCGUAGAUAUUGGGAAGAACACCGGUGGCGAAGGCGGCUCACUGGCUCGUAACUGACGCUCAGGCGCGAUAGCGUGGGGAUCAAACAGG